GACGAACGCUGGCGGCGUGCUUAACACAUGCCAGUCGAACGGAAAGGCCUCUUUCGGGGGGUACUCGAGUGGCGAACGGGUGAGUAACACGUGAGUAACCUGCCCUUGACUUUGGGAUAACUUCAGGAAACUGGGGCUAAUACCGGAUAGGAGCUCCUGCUGCAUGGUGGGGGUUGGAAAGUUUCGGCGGUUGGGGAUGGACUCGCGGCUUAUCAGCUUGUUGGUGGGGUAGUGGCUUACCAAGGCUUUGACGGGUAGCCGGCCUGAGAGGGUGACCGGCCACAUUGGGACUGAGAUACGGCCCAGACUCCUACGGGAGGCAGCAGUGGGGAAUAUUGCACAAUGGGUGGAAGCCUGAUGCAGCAACGCCGUGUGCGGGAUGACGGGCUUCGGGUUGUAAACCGCUUUCGCUCAUGACGAAGCUUUGUGUGACGGUAGUGGGUAAAGAAGCACCGGCUAACUACGUG
rnacentral:rRNA from 1 species